AGUCGAACGGAAAGGCCCUUUCGGGGGUACUCGAGUGGCGAACGGGUGAGUAACACGUGGGUGAUCUGCCCUGCACUUUGGGAUAAGCCUGGGAAACUGGGUCUAAUACCGAAUACACCCUGCUGGUCGCAUGGCCUGGUGGGGGAAAGCUUUUGCGGUGUGGGAUGGGCCCGCGGCCUAUCAGCUUGUUGGUGGGGUGAUGGCCUACCAAGGCGACGACGGGUAGCCGGCCUGAGAGGGUGUCCGGCCACACUGGGACUGAGAUACGGCCCAGACUCCUACGGGAGGCAGCAGUGGGGAAUAUUGCACAAUGGGCGCAAGCCUGAUGCAGCGACGCCGCGUGGGGGAUGACGGCCUUCGGGUCGUAAACCUCUUUCACCAUCGGCGAAGCCUCUGGGUGUUCUCAGGGGUGACGGUAGGUGGAGAAGAAGCACCGGCCAACUACGUGCCAGCAGCCGCGGUAAUACGUAGGGUGCGAGCGUUGUCCGGAAUUACUGGGCGUAAAGAGCUCGUAGGUGGUUUGUCGCGUUGUCCGUGAAAUUCCCUGGCUUAACUGGGGGCGUGCGGGCGAUACGGGCAGACUGGAGUACUGCAGGGGAGACUGGAAUUCCUGGUGUAGCGGUGGAAUGCGCAGAUAUCAGGAGGAACACCGGUGGCGAAGGCGGGUCUCUGGGCAGUAACUGACGCUGAGGAGCGAAAGCGUAGGGAGCGAACAGGAUUAGAUACCCUGGUAGUCCACGCCGUAAACGGUGGGUACUAGGUGUGGGUUUCCUUCCUUGGGAUCCGUGCCGUAGCUAACGCAUUAAGUAC
rnacentral:rRNA from 1 species